CGGAGGAUCCAAGCGUUAUCCGGAUUUAUUGGGUUUAAAGGGUGCGUAGGCGGCUUUUUAAGUCAGGGGUGAAAGACGGUAGCUUAAACUAUCGCAGUGCCCUUGAUACUGAAGAGCUUGAAUAUAGUUGAGGUAGGCGGAAUGUGACAAGUAGCGGUGAAAUGCAUAGAUAUGUCACAGAACACCAAUUGCGAAGGCAGCUUACUAAGCUAUGAUUGACGCUGAGGCACGAAAGCGUGGGAUCAAACAGGAUU
rnacentral:rRNA from 1 species